GCAUUGGUGGUUCAGUGGUAGGUAGGAGAAUUCUCGCCUGCCACGCGGGAGGACCCACGGGUCCGAUUCCCGGCCAAUGCA